rnacentral:rRNA from 1 species
CCUACGGGUGGCUGCAGUGAGGAAUAUUGGUCAAUGGGCGCGAGCCUGAACCAGCCAAGUAGCGUGAAGGAUGACUGCCCUACGGGUUGUAAACUUCUUUUAUGAAGGAAUAAAGUGCGGCACGUGUGCCUUUUUGUAUGUACUUUAUGAAUAAGGAUCGGCUAAUUCCGUGCCAGCAGCCGCGGUAAUACGGAGGAUCCGGGCGUUAUCCGGAUUUAUUGGGUUUAAAGGGAGCGUAGAUGGGGUGUUAAGUCAGUUGUGAAAGGUUGCGGCUCAACCGUUAAAGUGCAAUUGAUACUGGCAGGCUUGAGUGCAGUUGAGGUAGGCGGAAUUCGUGGUGUAGCGGUGAAAUGCUUAGAUAUCACGAAGAACUCCGAUUGCGAAGGCAGCUUACGAAACUGCGACUGACACUGAUGCUCGAAAGUGUGGGUAUCAAACAGGAUUAGAUACCCUUGUAGUC